rnacentral:rRNA from 1 species
GACGAACCGUGCGAACGUUAUUCGGAAUCACUGGGCUUAAAGCGCGUGUAGGCGGGCCGCCACGUCGGCUGCUGAAAUCCCCCGGCUCAACCGGGGAAGGGGCACCGAUACGGGCGGCCUGGAGGGGGGUAGGGGGGUCUGGAACUUCCGGUGGAGCGGUGAAAUGCGUUGAGAUCGGAAGGAACGCCCGUGGCGAAAGCGAGGCCCUGGACCCUUACUGACGCUGAGACGCGAAAGCCAGGGGAGCGAACGGG